UCUGCGCAGGCGCAGUAGAGCAGUCCCUCAGGAUAUUAUAAAUAGAGAUGGAGUGAAGUUACAUCAGUUCAGUGUUGGAUGUUACUCAGAGAACAACGUCGGGGGGAAAUCCACAACAGGAAAAGAAGAAAAGCUGAUUUCUGUCUGUAUUUAUCCAAGAUGGAAGGUGAUAAAACCCAAAGUUGAUAAUGUGACGAAGAAAGGGGAAAGAAAAUCAUCUUGGAGUGACACGUCCUGUUUUAUGAGAUAGCCUUUUUCUCAGGAUUUAUCCAAGAUGAAAGGUGAUAAAAGUAAACGCCAAAGUUGAGGAUGUGACGAAGACAGAAGGAGAAAGAAAAUCAUGGCUGACGAAGUUGAGCAGUCACCCAAGAGUUGGACUGAAUCUCAAGUAAGCACCUGGCUAAGAUCCAUUGGAGUGAAGGAGCAGUACAUAGAAAAGCUCUAUGAAGAAGAAGUAGAUGGACAAAUCCUUCUUGCACUGAAUGAGGACUUUUUGAAGUCAAAAGUUUGCAUGAAAUCAGGGCCUGCUCAUUUGAUUAUUCAAAAGAGAGAUGAGCUCAUCAACUCCAAACAAAAGUCUCAAGAUAAGAAAAAGACCACCAGUGGCAAAACACUGGAGCAGAAAUCAGUUCAAUGUCUUCCCACAACAAGUGAAGGUACUUCAGCACAGAUUCAUGAGAGAGAUCAAGAUGUCUUGAAGGAGAAACAAACUGCUCAAGAACAAUGUGUGUUGAUAUCAAAGGAAGACUGUAGACCACGACCAUUUGAUCAAGAGGGGAUUGAUUUCAUAUAUGUAAAGCACAGAGUCCUGCAGCCUGAAUCAGGUGCUUUUAAUCUGACAUCUCCAUGCCAUGAAUUUAAGUCUCUUUCUGUAGCUGCUGCGUUGGAUCGUACAAGACUCCAAGCUAAGUUUGCCAAAGAGGUCCUUAAAUUUGCAACUGGCUGUAUGAAUAUCAGAACAAAUGGUACAAUACACUUUGGUGUGAUGGACAGCAAGGAGGAUGUAGGAAACGUACAUGGUGAGAUAAUUGGCAUCCCUGUAAAAGAGAAAGACAUUUAUGUAGAUGCUUUGGACUACAUUGAGAGGAGUUUCUCCUCUAACACGGAGCAUAUGCGCCAGUGUGUGCGGCCACCACAGUUCAUUGAGGUUAUGGAUCAAGAAAAGAGGUAUGUGGUAGAGGUUGACAUUGUGCCUUCAAUAGGUAUCGUUAAGGGCAAGGUGUAUGCAGUUCGUCUGCCAAACUUCAAAGAGUCAGCCAACAAAGUAGAAUUUGAGAAAGAAGCGAUUCUGCGGAGGGUGGGUUCGAAAACGGAGCCAGUGAGCGACAAAGACCUAAGUGAUUUUUACCAGCGAGUCAAAGAUCGGGAUGCUCAAAGAGAAGAAGCAGAGAGAAAUCAGUUCUUCAGUGCCCCAGAGUUCUGCCAAGACCUCGGAAGGAAACUCAAAAUGCUAAUGACGAGUGGGAAAAAAUUCAUCGAAAAGGAGAAAUGGUUCAUAUUCGUCACAAACAAAUUCAACCCUGAUGACCUCUGCAACAUUGACUGGUUGCUUAACAUGACCAUGUUCUGUGUGUUUGACUUUGACCCAGACUCAAAGAUUUCAGGUCUUUGCAGUAAAUACCUUCAGCAUCACGCUGCAAACAUGCAUUCUCUGCAGAGCUACAGGAAAUCCGGUGACAUGAGCAUCAAAGAAUUCACAAGCCACUUGCAUCUGUUUGAUCAAGCUAGCUGGAUCUUUUGUAAUGGCCGUACUGACUACAAAGGAAAUGAAACUCCAUGUGAUGAAAUGACUUGGAUCAAGACAAAAGUGACUUUACUGCGGGAAUCUGUGUCUUUGAUCUGUAAACAAAUCUUGCCAAAGGGGACAUUCCAGGUCAUUUUUCUUCUCACUUCACCAGUUGAGAAGCCUCUGUUGCACACCUUUAAUGAGUUUUUCACAGACAUGGAAGGCCAUGAAGACAUCAUCUGCAUCUGUGAAUCACAGAAAAACUUCCAGAAGUGGCAAAGCUUUGCAGAGGGCUCAUGUGGAAAAGAAACUGUGAACAAUUCCAGUGUUGUUGGGAUGAAAAUGAGUCACAUUAAUGCAACUCUGCAGCAGGUACAACCAGUUAAUGCAUGUGCCAGCAAACACUUGCCAGUCUUUAUGAGGGGGACUUGCCUUCUUGAAACACAUGAAGAGGAACAGAUGUAUUCUCUGGAAAUUCUGACGGUCGACCAUUGUCAUGAAACAAGCAAAGACUUCAUCGAUGAGGAGAAAUCAAACAUUGAACAGCAGUUCUACCGUGGUGGGAGAGUGAACUGGUUGAAUUUCUGGCUUGCUGAGCACAACUAUGUUGGAGAGGUAAUUGAAAGAGAUGCUUAUCAUGAUGUUUCCAACCUUCUCCAUGACACUUUGAAAUACAAUGCAGAACAAACUCCGGUGAACAGCAUAAACAUCUACCAUCAUCCAGGAAGUGGUGGAAGCACUGUCGCAAGACAGGUGCUGUGGAACAAAAGGAAAGAUCUGAGGUGUGCAGUUGUGAAGCCUUCAUACUCAUCUGCUCUUGUUGCGCAACAUGCAGUUGAACUAAGAGAGUAUGAAGAAACUGAUCCACAGACGUGUCUUCCUGUGCUGCUCCUCAUUGAAGACUCAGACAAAGAAUACCUAGAUGAUCUCAGGAAUGAACUAGAGGUUGCCAUUAACACCAAAAGAAUCCAGUUUGGAACUCUAUGUUUCAUUUUGUUGAGCUGCAGACGAUCCCAUGAUCCAGAGAAGAAAUGCAAGGAGUCUCCAUUGCAGAAUGUGUCAGUCACUCACAAACUGUCUGCUCAAGAGAAGAGAAAGUUUGCUGGAAAACGAGAGGUGCUUGAGGAAUGCUAUGAGCCUGAAUUCAUCCUGACAUUUGUUUUGAUGAGUGAAGGAUUCAAUGAGAAAUACGUUCAACAGUUUGUGGAACAUUUGCUCCAAGGCAUUGACCGUCAAUCUGUUGUCACACGCCUGAUUCUCUAUGUAGCACUGCUGAACACUUAUGUUCAAAACUCUUUCAUCUCUCAGUCCCAUUGUGAAGCUUUGCUUGGUUUAAACGUUAAGUGGGAAAGGUUUCGCCAACAUGACUUUGAGAAAUCACUCACUGAUCAAGCGAAACUAGUCUUCUUGCACCUCAGAGAUGACAAGACACACAUCGAAUCAAUCAGAAUCAUUCACCCACUCGUUGCAAAGGAAAUUCUCCAACAACUUUUGGGAAACCAUCAGACCCAGAGCAGUUUGGCAAUGGAUUUGCUCUGCGAGAAGGUGCUUUUUGAGCACAGAUUUGGAAGGGACGAAUAUCUGUCAUUUUUGAGAGCGCUUUUCAUAAGGCGAUCCAGAAUAAGCAAAGGGGACAAAUAUGACAGCUUUUUCUCUCCUCUGAUUGAACAUGUGUGUGCAAAGGAGAAAAGCCCAGACAAAGCAAUUGAGUUACUCAAGGAAGCGUUCCAGUGUUUCCAUAAAGAUCCAUUCUUUGCACAACAACUUGCUCGUCUUCAUUAUACUUAUGAAAAGUUCGAAGAGGCAAAAUACUGGGCAGAGACAGCAGCCAAACAACAGCCCAACAACUCAUACAUACUCGACACAAAGGGGCAGGUGUACAGGAAAUGGUUCCAAGCUAAAUGCAAAGCUAUUGACAAUGACAAUGUCCCAAAGACAGCUCAAAAUAUAGUAGAUGCUGUGGAGACUGCACUGAAAGCCCUGGAGUGUUUUCAAGAAUGUGAAAAAGCAGCUGCAGCCGAUAUGGAAAACCUUAACAGCUCAGGGUUUUUUUCUGAAGUUGAGGUUGGCUGCAGCCUGCUCAAGCUGAUCUCAUCAUCGCAAGUGUUUGCAAACAGAGCCGAUGGCCAUUCAGAGUGUAUGAAGUACCUGUUAACAGAUUACAUUCCGGAGGAAAUUGAAGAUGUCUGGGAACCAUUUCAUGGCCGUUUGAAAAAACUCAACAAGACAAUGCAAGAUGCCUUGGAAUGGAUUUCAGAAGACCUCAGUUACUUCCAGACAGACAUCGGUGCAGAUGAAGAAGAGACCCCUGAAAGACCUGAAGAGAAGAUAAGCCAUCCACUGACAUGGUUGUCAAAAAGAUCUUCAGAGUAUGGGAAGUACUUCAGUGAAGCUUAUUCUACUGAACUUCUACAACAUGGGAAGUCAAUCCCAGCCAAUCUAACUCCUUUCCAAAAACGCAUGGUCAUCUAUUAUCUUGGCGGGGGUAACGUAACAUCCAUCCUCUCCAAGCUAACUGACCAGAGGGAUGUAGUAUACCUUCUAGAGAGCAUCCUUUCUCUCUACCCCAGCAAUCCAAUAAAGGCCAACUUUGGCCAAAGGGACAUUGUCAAUUACAUAAUGGCCCACAUUUCUCUGAACUGCCUGUCACCACAGAAUCAAAAGGUAGCUCCUCUGAAAGAUCUACAGGCACUUAGUCGUCAGUUCCCUUCUGAUAAAAAUAAAUGUUCGCCAAGUGCCCUGUUCUUGCUUACCUUGCUGUUCUGGCCAGAGGAUUGUGACACAGAUCAAGAGAAAGAAACUAAAUAUGAAAUUGUGCAAUCAGCUGUUGAACACCUGGAAAAAGACUACUGGACCAAGAUGAAGGACAUUCCUCCGCGGAAAAGAAGGAUUUACACCCAUUUCUUUCUGGGCAAUGGGAACGGAUUGGAUAAAUUUGUCCACAAGAGAAAGUUUGAAACAGUCACAAAGGGGAUCUCUGUCUCCGAGAAACGCAUGAAGUGGUUCAGGGGUGAGGCAUGGAAAAAGCCUGAGAUUGCAACGAUGCUGAAACGUGUUUCUGGAUGGACUGAAGAUGGAGUGGUGUACCUUGAAGGCCCUCGGAAAAAGAAGUUCAAAAUCCUGCCUAUUCAUGUACCUUCAGUGCCUCAUAGUAAUGAAAACAUCACAUUCUACCUGGGGUUUACCUACAAAGGCCCUGUUGCCUACAACAUCAUUGUGAAACAAUAGUUUGUCUUUGAACAAUGAUCCUGACACAUGGCUGUAUGUCAUCUUGCUGACGCAUGGGCCUAGUAUCCACCUCAAGACCUAAGAGCUAUAACAAAUUAAAAAGAGAAAAGGUCAUUCAAAACACACAAAACUUCUUACGACAGCUUGUCAAGUAGGCAAUCUUUGUGAAAGACGAAACCAAAAUGUUGAAGCACAUGGUAUUGUUUUGUAAGAUGUAAGAUUGUUUGAUGUUUCCCCUCUUGUACUUGUAUAAAGAUGCACAUGUAAGUGUACUGAAAAAGUGUCAUAAAAAUGACUCACCAGUUUUUGUGUACAUAUGAACAUGGACUAUGACAUGAUUGACUCUGGAUUCUCAGAGUAAAAACAAUGUAAACUGAAUGUGCUACUCUACAGCUCAAUGCUUCUCAAAUAGGAACUCAAAGUGCCUGUUUCAACCUGUAUCUAGUAUCCUGUUAUUUUCUGAUUGUUUGUCGAUCCAGUUCAGAUGGACUGCAGUUCACACCUUGCAUCAAAAUGCAUUUCAAAUGUAUCUCAAGUGAGCGUUAGUGCCUGGAUUUUGCUAAGGUGCUCACAUUUGGUGUUGUUGUUUUGUAAGAUGUAAGAUUGUUUGAUGAUUCCCCUCUUGUACUUGUAUAUAGAUGCACAUGUAAGUGUACUGAAAAAGUGUCAUAAAAAUGACUCACCAGUUUUUGUGUAUAUAUGAACAUGGACUAUGACAUGAUUGACUCUGGAUUCUCAGAGUAAAAACAAUGUAAACUGAAAUUGAUACUCUAAAGCUCAAUGCUUCUUAAAUAGGAACUCAAAGUGCCUGUUUCAACCUGUAUCUAGUAUCCUGUUAUUUUCUGAUUGUUUGCUUGAUCCAGUUCAGAUGUAUUGCAGUUCACACCUGGCAUGAAAAUGCAUUUCAAAUGUAUCUCAAGUGAGCGUUAGUGCCUGUAUUUUGCUAACGGGCUCACAUUUGGUGUUAUUGUUAUGUAAGAUUGUUUGACGUUUCCCCUCUUGUACUUGUAUAUAGAUGCACAUGUAAGUGUACUGAAAAAGUGUCAUAAAAAUGACUCACCAGUUUUUGUGUAUAUAUGAACAUGGACUAUGAUAUGAUUGACUCUGAAUUCCCAAAUAAAAACAAUGUAAACUGAAUGUGCUACUCUAAAGCUCAAUGCUUCUCAAAUAGGAACUCAGAGUCCCUGUUUCAACCCGUAUCUAGUAUCCUGUUAUUUGCUGAUUGUUUGUCGAUCCAGUUCAGAUGUAUUGCAGUUCACACCUGGCAUCAAAAUGCAUUUCAAAUGUAUCUCAAGUGAGCGUUAGUGCCUGGAUUUUGCUAACGUGCUCACAUUUGGUGUUGUUGUUUUGUAAGAUGUAAGAUUGUUUGAUGUUUCUCCUCUUGUACUUGUAUAUAGAUGCACAUGUAAGUGUACUGAAAAAGUGUCAUAAAAAUGACUCACCAGUUUUUGUGUACAUAUGAACAUGGACUAUGACAUGAUUGACUCUGGAUUCCCAGAGUAAAAACAAUGUAAACUGAAUGUGCUACUCUACAGCUCAAUGCUUCUCAAAUAGAAACUCAAAGCGCCUGUUUCAACUUGUAUCUAGUAUCCUGUUAUUUUCUGAUUGUUUGUUGAUCCAGUUCAGAUGUAUUGCAGUUCACACCUGGCAUGAAAAUGCCUUUCGAAUGUAUCUCAAGUGAGCGUUAGUGCCUGGAUUUUGCUAACGGGCUCACAUUUGGUGUUUGGAAACUGAACUAGACUGCUGUUGGACAGAAAAACAGUAUGUCACAGAAGAUGAAUUUUGGUGUCAACUGUUCUUAAACAUCUGGGCUUUAUAGUAGAUCAUGAUAGCUUAUACUCACUCUUCUAUAUUUACCAGGAUACAAUGUAGAAAGCAAUGGAAUUAAAUGCAACUACCUUCAUGGGAUUUGUAUCAGUGUUUUAACAAUAAAUGUAUUAAGAGAUAAACAGCAACAGUAUGUACAGUUGGAGAAGAACGUGUAUACAUAUUGAUAUGCAAUAGAAACAUGUGUAAUAAAGUGCUUGUAUAGAUAUUGAAUACACUUUACACAAAUGAUGAAAACACACUUGUCCUUAAAAUUAAACUACAAAUGAUGCCAGUACCUGCACUUUUAUUGCUAUACAUUUUUAAAAAGUUGUACUUAUAUUUGAUGAUGUUUUUGAUAGUAACAUGAAAUAUUUGACUCUGUAAACAUUGGUGUUCUGUAUGUAAAAUAUAUCACAGAAUACAAUAAACUGUUUUUUUUCUCUUCAA